rnacentral:misc_RNA from 1 species
UUUGUUACAAAAAUAAAAAUAAAAUUUUUAUUAUAUCUCAAAUUAUUAAGAAUAUAAUCUAAACACGCGUAAUAAAGACCUGAUUACAAUUAUCAUAAUUUUAUCAGCGGUGAAUUCCUGUUUUUAUCAGCGUGCGAGUGUCUUUAAAACAAAAUUAUUAAGAAUGAGUUUUAUGCAACAUGGAGGGGCCCGACUGAGUACUCUUUCACAUUUUGGACAAAGCAACGAAUUUUCCUAUUUAAGUUGUACUUCACACUUUCACACGCGCACCAAAAGGACGUUGGCUUCUUAUCUUAACCUUCACCCCAUCGCCGACAAUGUGCACGUUAGAGAAGCGAGGCAGUUUAUUCAUUUUGACAUUCAUCGGUGACGGGGAGCAUAGGCUGAGCCCUACUCUCAUAGAUUCGGUGCUAUCGGCUCUCUGCGAAGUCAAAUCCAAGGCCACUCGCGGCUCAGUUCUUAUCACCACAUCCCAAGGCAAGUUCUUCUCCAAUGGCUUCGAUCUUGCCUGGGCCAAAGCCGCUGGAUCCAGUUCUAAAGCCAUGGAACGCCUCCACCACAUGGUCGUCUCCUUCAAGCCGGUCGUCGCUGAGUUGAUAUCCCUCCCUAUGCCCACGGUGGCAGCCAUCCAGG